AGCGAACGCUGGCGGCAGGCCUAACACAUGCAAGUCGAACGGAUCCUUCGGGAUUAGUGGCGGACGGGUGAGUAACACGUGGGAACGUGCCCUUUGGUUCGGAACAACUCAGGGAAACUUGAGCUAAUACCGGAUGUGCCCUUCGGGGGAAAGAUUUAUCGCCAUUGGAGCGGCCCGCGUCUGAUUAGCUAGUUGGUGAGGUAAAGGCUCACCAAGGCGACGAUCAGUAGCUGGUCUGAGAGGAUGAUCAGCCACAUUGGGACUGAGACACGGCCCAAACUCCUACGGGAGGCAGCAGUGGGGAGUCUUGCGCAAUGGGCGAAAGCCUGACGCAGCCAUGCCGCGUGGAUGAUGAAGGUCUUAGGAUUGUAAAUUCUUUCACCGGGGACGAUAAUGAUGGUACCCGGAGAAGAAGCCCCGGCUAACUUCGUGCCAGCAGCCGCCGUAAGAC
rnacentral:rRNA from 1 species